rnacentral:rRNA from 1 species
GAUGAACGCUGGCGGCGUGCCUAAUACAUGCAAGUCGAGCGAACGGACGAGAAGCUUGCUUCUCUGAUGUUAGCGGCGGACGGGUGAGUAACACGUGGAUAACCUACCUAUAAGACUGGGAUAACUUCGGGAAACCGGAGCUAAUACCGGAUAAUAUUUUGAACCGCAUGGUUCAAAAGUGAAAGACGGUCUUGCUGUCACUUAUAGAUGGAUCCGCGCUGCAUUAGCUAGUUGGUAAGGUAACGGCUUACCAAGGCAACGAUGCAUAGCCGACCUGAGAGGGUGAUCGGCCACACUGGAACUGAGACACGGUCCAGACUCCUACGGGAGGCAGCAGUAGGGAAUCUUCCGCAAUGGGCGAGAGCCUGACGGAGCAACGCCGCGUGAGUGAUGAAGGUCUUCGGAUCGUAAAACUCUGUUAUUAGGGAAGAACAUAUGUGUAAGUAACUGUGCACAUCUUGACGGUACCUAAUCAGAAAGCCACGGCUAACUACGUGCCAGCAGCCGCGGUAAUACGUAGGUGGCAAGCGUUAUCCGGAAUUAUUGGGCGUAAAGCGCGCGUAGGCGGUUUUUUAAGUCUGAUGUGAAAGCCCACGGCUCAACCGUGGAGGGUCAUUGGAAACUGGAAAACUUGAGUGCAGAAGAGGAAAGUGGAAUUCCAUGUGUAGCGGUGAAAUGCGCAGAGAUAUGGAGGAACACCAGUGGCGAAGGCGACUUUCUGGUCUGUAACUGACGCUGAUGUGCGAAAGCGUGGGGAUCAAACAGGAUUAGAUACCCUGGUAGUCCACGCCGUAAACGAUGAGUGCUAAGUGUUAGGGGGUUUCCGCCCCUUAGUGCUGCAGCUAACGCAUUAAGCACUCCGCCUGGGGAGUACGACCGCAAGGUUGAAACUCAAAGGAAUUGACGGGGACCCGCACAAGCGGUGGAGCAUGUGGUUUAAUUCGAAGCAACGCGAAGAACCUUACCAAAUCUUGACAUCCUUUGACAACUCUAGAGAUAGAGCUUUCCCCUUCGGGGGACAAAGUGACAGGUGGUGCAUGGUUGUCGUCAGCUCGUGUCGUGAGAUGUUGGGUUAAGUCCCGCAACGAGCGCAACCCUUAAGCUUAGUUGCCAUCAUUAAGUUGGGCACUCUAAGUUGACUGCCGGUGACAAACCGGAGGAAGGUGGGGAUGACGUCAAAUCAUCAUGCCCCUUAUGAUUUGGGCUACACACGUGCUACAAUGGGCAAUACAAAGGGCAGCGAAACCGCGAGGUCAAGCAAAUCCCAUAAAGUUGUUCUCAGUUCGGAUUGUAGUCUGCAACUCGACUACAUGAAGCUGGAAUCGCUAGUAAUCGUAGAUCAGCAUGCUACGGUGAAUACGUUCCCGGGUCU